CACUUGUACAAUUUUUCUCCAGUAUGUACUCUCAAAUGUCUUUUCAAAUGACCUGCUUCACUAAACUGCUUAAAACAAAUUUCACACUUGUGAGAUUUUUCUCCAGUAUGUACUCUCAAAUGUCUUUUCAAAUGACCUGCUUCACUAAACUGCUUAAAACAAAUUUCACACUUAUGAGGUUUUUCUCCAGUAUGUACUCUCAAAUGUCUUUUUAA